GGGCGAGCCGGGCAGUAGAGACGCUUUCUGAAGGGGGUAGAACGGUUCGAGGUUUCGCGGACUGUUUACCUCCAGGGGUCGUUCGUGAGUCAGAGAAACCGGGCCUUUGGAGGGAGAGGGCCUGGCGACAGUCCUUCUGCGCUUGGCUGUGCAGCGUUCUGGCUGCUUCUGCCCGGCGCCACGAGGCCCGCCCCGGCGCUACCCUCGCCCUGCCUGCCCCGGCUCUGUCGGCCUGCGGGCGCUGCAGCCUCUCUCCCGCCGCCGGCGUGUCUGGAAAUGGAGGCCCAUAGCUAGAAGAGGUCCUGUUGCUACCCUGUGUGACAGAAUGGGAAGUACGCAUGAAGCAGGCUUGCUGCAUACCAAGUGGCAGUCGAGACAUCUGUUGAGGCUGCGGCCAUCUGAAGGCUUGACUGGACCUGGAGAAUCUGCUUCCAAGAGGUGCACUCACGUGGCUGUUGGCAGGAGGUGUCACUGGACGGACCUCUCCACGGGGCUUUGACGAUGCGCACAGCUUGGCAGCCAGCUUCUCCCAGAGCAAGUGAUCAGAGAGAGGGAGCAAGAUAGAAGCCUCAGUGUCUUUUAUGAUCUACCCUCAGAAGUCAUGCUCUGUAAUUUCCACCACGUUCUAUUCAUUAGAGUGAGUCACAUGUACAGGCCACACUCAAAGAGAGGGAAAUUAAGCUCCACCUCUUAAAGGGAAGAGUACCGAAGAAUACGUGGACAUGUUUCAAUAACACUACACUUAGUGAACCAAUAUUUUCCAAAUGACUGUGUGAUGUUACAAUGCCAUGAUGCACAGAUAAAAAAUCUAUUCUAAUUGCAAGAUAGCCCCAUGGAUUUUUAAUGUAACAGAGUAGGAAACAUUCAUUGAUGUAGUUUUAGAUCCCACAUUGCUUCUGACCUUUAAGAAGCUAUCAUUUGUUGAGUUCUGGUGUAGGAUCAGAGAAGAGUAUCCACAAUUAUCUGAAAAGGCUAUCAAAAUACUCCCCUUAUUUCCAACUACGUAUCCCUGUGAGGCCAAAUUUUUGUCAUAUACUGACAACAGCAUUAGAAUAGACCGGAAUGCAGAGGCAGAUAGGAGAAUCCAGCUCUCUUCUGUUAAGCCAGACAGAGAUUUGCAAAAAUGUACAACAGAGUGGCUCUUCUCACUAAUUAUUUUUGUUUUAGAAAAUGUGUUUUUCUUAAAAAGUGUGUGUGUGUGUGUGUACUAACAUGUAUUGGAUUUAUUAUUGUAAUUUGUAAAUGAAUUAAAUAUUUUUAAAUUUUCUCAGUUUCUAAUAUGGUAUUAUCACUAGAUGUAACCCAUAUAAACGAAGGCUCUUUGGGUCCUCAGUAAUUUUUAAGAAUGUAAAGGAGUCCUGAGACCACAAAGUUCUGAGAUCACUUAUCUGAGCAAUCGGAUGGCUCUGUUACCCUCAAAUAAUAGUUUAGGGAUGGGCAUGUGGUGCGACUUUGGCCAAUGACAUGUGAGGUGAAGGUGUUGUGUUCAGUUUUCAGUUUAGGGUAUUAAAUAGAAGCGUACAUGGGGUCUUCUAAAAGAUUGG
rnacentral:lncRNA from 1 species